rnacentral:tRNA from 1 species
GGCUCAGUGGUAGAGUGCUUGCCUGGCAUGCAUAAGACCUUGGGUUCAAUUCCCAG